GUCUCAACUGCCUAGUGGUUAGAGCAUCUGCCUCUGAUGGGGAAGGUCCUGGGUUUGAUCCCUGGUUGAGUCA